AUGAAACUGUGGUGCUGCUGUUGCCUCAUCUGGAGCAGCCUGUGGAAAGAAGGGUGGUGGCCCAACCAGAGGGAAGGAGGGCAGACCUUCCCCAGGGAAGAUGGAGCACCCACAGAGGACAGGCAGGUGUCUCAGUCUAUGAGGAAACAGAACAAAGUUGACGCCACAUGCCUUUCAACCGUGCUGAUGCUUUUGGUUUUUGUAAAGGUGCUCACCUCUGUGGGAAAAGGGUUCAUAGGAAACUGACAUUUAGAACCAAGACUAAAAGAAUUGUGAAACUCAGCAAGUAAUAUCUGGCAGAAUUAAUUUUUUUUCAUCUGGAAAUUGUCAGAGAGAUAAUCAAGUGUUCCUCGAGGAAUAAGAACAAAAGAUGAAAGUUUAAUACAAUUCAAUUUAACAAACAUUUAUUAAGUGCCCAGAGUUUUUCCCAGGGAUCAUCUGGGCCAGUUUCUGAGAAGAUCUGAUCAACGCCCUAAGGGAGGAGGAGGGUUUUAUCAAUGGGUCUGAGACUGGAUGAACAAGGACAGCAGAUUUACCUUUGAGACCCAGACACAGUUGAAUAUGGUCCUGAGUAAGUAGCUGAGCUUCAGAAGGGAAAAAAAAAAAUGUGCACAAUAGCUUGGAAAAUCUAAAACACGAGGUAAUCAAAAAUGUUAUUUUAUGAUAGGCUUUAGCAUGUAGUUCAUUAUUUUGUAGGGCAAGUUUACUUUCCCAGUUGUAAGUUAUCUUGAGCUGAUCCAUAAAGUCUACAGGGGAAAAGCUUUUCAAGAAUUUUACAUUUCUGAAAUUAGGCUCCCAGCAGUCAACAUAGGAAAAGUGGUACAUUUUCGUUUUUCUGAUAAUGAAAAAGAGGAGCCUGGCAUCCCUCCUAUACUUGAUGCCCAAGGGAGACUCCCUUCCUGCUGGAGGUCAGAACCAGCAGUGAGCCACUAGGCGAUUCUGGUUCUUAUAGAGCCUGACAAUAGGGUGGGCAACAAAGAACAGCCUGCUAGGUGUUCAGAAUAAGGGGGUCCCAGCUGCCCGUGAAGCCAGAGAAGAGCUUUGAGCCAUCCUGACCUGCUCAGUCCUGCCCUCCUCACGGCCUGAGUCCUGGACUGCACUAGUAGGACAGGGCAACCCGAAAUGACCUCAUUACGUAUUGUGCCCCUAAUUACACUAGAGACAGGUCUCAGAACAGAAGUGGCAAGUUCACCCUAGGAGGGACUUCUGGUAAAGAGCCCAGGCACCGUGUGAAGACCCUAAGAAACCCCACUUCGGGAAGGGGGUUCAGUUCUUUGUAGGCUUGGGUAAGUACCCUCCAUUUUGUGUCAGCAUCAAACCCCCUCAAUACCCAACACCUGGCCAUCAGAUAGCUGAAAGUCUCAGCUAGAUGAUGAAUUCCCUUAUCCUGUGGGAAAAAGCUGUAAAGAUCAAACCACCUUUCCUGUGGGUGAGCAGGAGCCUGUAGUUUAUGUAAAGGCGUCAGCUCCUGUGGGAAGGAAGGAAACAGGAAAUUUACAUCUGGAACCAGGACUCCAGUGAGAGUGAAACUUAGUAAGUACUAGCUUUACAGCAGAGGUGUUGGUUUAUUUGGUUUGUUUCUGAAUUAUCUGGAAGCUCCAAAGAAAGAACACUUCUCCCCUGAGGAUUCAGUUCCAAACUCCUGACUUCAAACUUCUAAAAAGAUUAAAUGUUAAGGCAGAUGGUAGGCCUGGAAAACUUUAUUUCCCUAUAUAAUAACUAGACACCUACCUUGCUUAUUUAUUCUGUUUAGGAAGUGGGGAGGAGGACUAGACACCCUUGGGGCAGGGCUGUGGGGAGCAUUGCACAGCAUUUUUAGAUAAAUCCAGAGAAUCAAAUCAAAAACUAUUAGCUCAGAAAGCCCUUAAAGACCAUCUAACUCACUGCUUUAAUUUUGCAAAUAAGGACAGGGAAACUCAGAGAGGUUGUUGUAAACUUGCUCAGGGUCACACAGCUGAGCCUGGUCCAGGGCAAAGCCAAGACAGCCCAUAGCUCUGACCCGGCCUGACCCAAGGGAGAAAAAAACAUCUUGGUCUUUGGCCAUAGCAGUGCCAUUUGCGCCCCAGACAUUCUUUCUCCAAGACUUAAUGGACUUGAAACAGAACCUCAAAGUGCCAAAGGGAGAUAAAAUCAUUGCCCGUCUAUUGCGGAUGAAGUAAGAACAAUAGCUGAACUCGAUAUUUGGAGAAAGGCUCAGCCAUCUACAGACUCUGGGGCAGAGAUAGAAAAAGUCAAAAUGAAAAUGCUGGUCUUGUCUUCAGACAAUGACUAUGACCAUCAAACAUCUACCUAAAAAUACUGCAGAGCUAAUUUCUUUCCCACUGGGAGUUUAUAUUCUAUGAGAGAUCGCACCCAGCAAUGCAAUUGCUUUGGGCCGCAGAAUAUGUAUACCGAAUUGGCUUGCUAAGCCUUCUGGUGUCUUAAAGUGGCAAUCAUAUCUCUGGAUAUCUCCCUCAGCCCUGAAGCCCUGGGCUGCCAGAAAGAAACAUACCGUCACCCUACCCUGUCCUAAAGAUGUGGAGGUUAAAGAAGUUAGUUAUCACUUAGUUCUUGGGAAGCUCUGCAAAGCUGAGUUCAUUAAGUUGAUGCCACAGGUUUUUGCAAAGGCCCUCAGCAUAGUGUCCAACAAGCCAGUGGUUUUCAAAUGACAUUUGGGAAAGGAACUCUGCUCACGGUGAAUCUUGGUAAGUGGAGGAGAGCACUGAAUCCUCUUUUUAAAUGUGCUUUGAGAUCAACUUUUGACUCCAACUAAAGAAGAUGUGGCUUGUUGGCCCAUCUCUGCUCAUAUUGAAGUCCUGGCUGGCUAGAGGCUGCCCUCUCCACAUUCCCUGAAACAGUCCAACCAUGAAGUGACACCCACGCAGCUAGAUGCAGCUUUUACCAAUUCUCACAAAAUCACUUAACCCUUUCAUCAAAGUGUUCGGUGGCUCCUUUGUUGCCCUCAAAGCUUUGCCAGUCUAUCAGUUAGGGGAAAACAGGUCAUUUUUAAGUCAUGGUGAAAGGAGAAUGUUGACAUGUGUUUGGCUUCUGGGAAGAAAAAUACCGACGAUCUCUUACUUGCUUUCUAUGUGUUAGGCAAUAUGCUGCAUGCUCUCCAGCCUUUAGCACAUUCCAUCCUUAUAGCAGCUCUGAGGGGUAGGUGCUAUUAUUACCCUCAUUUUCGAGAAGAGAACUUUUUAUAUUUUUAUAUCUUAUGUUUUUAUAGAAACACAGAAAGGGUGAAUAACUUGCUUAAACUGAUUCAGUGAGGAAGAGGGCCCAGAAUUUCAUUCUUGGAAACCAGAUUCCAGUACUAAAUGUUUACUAGUUGGACGGGGGGGGGGGGGGGGGGGGGGGGGGGGGGUGUGGAGGAGUGCUGUUCAGGAGGCAGGGGGCAGGGUCACUGAUGUUUGGCCUCUAAUAUUACCAAAAUAAUUCCCAGGGGAAAUGUGCUCUCAGUAAGUAAAGCCAGGACCACUACCUCGACCCACUUAUAUAUCCUAAUCCUUGCAACAACAUAGUCCAGUAGUUAUGAUUCUCUCCCACUUUACAGAUGGGGAAACUGAGGCCCAGCAACUUAGGAAAUGCUGAGCUUGCUUUUGUUAUUGCUGGCCCCCAAGCCAGAACUAUCUCAAAUUAACUGCAGCUAGAAUAAGUAAUGAAUUCAUGACAAACAAUCUAACUUGCUGUUAGGUAAAGAGUGAUUAAUUUUUUCUGUAGUUCCUCUCCGUUUUCAGGAUUAACUAUCCAACUGUAUAAUCGCACCACACUGUGUUUCUGCGUUUGUGCUGGCCCUGGAAGAGCAGGGGGGGCCCUCGUUCCCAGCCCCUGGUGGAAAGGCCCUGUAAAGCAUUCUGGGCAGGGGUGGGAGGGUGUUCCUCAAGGUGGAUCUGAACAACUCUUCUUUGGAAAAGAAAUAAAACUGACAGUAAAGCCAUGUAAGUUUGAAUAACUAAUGCUUCCAAAUUGCUCUCUGGAACCCCGAUUCCUAAAUUUUCCGUUCCAUUUUAUAACCUAAGUCCAAACCACGGCAGUCCAUGGAUGGAUUGCAGUUCAAACAACUGCCAACGUGUACCUACCCCGUGCAGGACUUUCCUGCUUGCCCUCCCGGGCUGCUGUAUCUAACAGGUGGGAAUAAUGGUGCCAGUGGAUCACUGAGCUAAGGAGUCAUUCUGCUAGAAGGCUUAACUGCUUAUUAAAAAUGGUGGGAUUUUCCAGGAACUGAGAGAAAAUCAGUGAACUCUCUGAGCCUCUA
rnacentral:lncRNA from 1 species